GCAUCAAGGGAGAAGGAUGACGUCAGACAAGAUGUUCUCUCUAAUAGAGGUGGUGUCUCGGCGCCUGCGUUUACGCUCCCAUGGUCCAGAUCAACGACAACUACUACGAAGACCCGAGUCCAAAAGACAUCGAUCAGAUCAUUGAUGAGCUGAAAGCUGGGAACGUCCCUCCGCCUGGGCCUAGGAACGGGCGUUUCUCCUGCGAGCCAGCAGGAGGACUGACGAGUCUGUGUGAGCCUCCCCCUGGGCCUGGUUUUGGUGUCAGAGCUGAUCUAUAGAGACCUACAGUGUAUUUCAACACCUCCCUAGCCCCUAUAUAGUGCACUUCCGAAGCCCAUAGAGUUCUAGAUCAAAGUAGUGCACUAUAUCGGAUGCCUUUUAAUAUAUAUACAAUAGUGUGUAUAUAUAUAUAUAUAUGAACUGUACUGUUCAGGGGAACACCUAACCUCACAGUGGAUAUAAUGUAAUAUUGUAAAUAAAAUGUCAAUGUACUUGUGCUCAUGGGUGUCAAACUGUCUCCUUGUGUGUCAAUUUAGAUAAGACACUAAUUAUCUGUCUCAAAGAAAUCUAGGUUGAUACAGUAUUUCUAUUAGAAAGCGUUUACUACACCACACUGUCAACAUGCAGAUCAAGGAACUACUAAUCAGUUUAAAAGUACAAAAAGAAAACUGCCAGAGAGAAUAGGAUUUCAUAUGUGAAUUUGUUAAAAAGUUGCCACAAGCCUCACACAGAAAUUAAUUCUUAUUAAGAGCAUCAAUUAAUGGGGUAAAAUGCAUACAGUACCAGUCAAAAGUUG